UUUCUUUUUCUCUUCGUGCAGAAGCAGCAGCAAAGCUGCUGUUCUUGUUUUUUCCUCUCCUUUGCCCUCCUAACCUCCAACCAUCAUAUCUUUUUCAUUCGGACAACGAUUUCGACUAAUCUUAUAUCAAAAUUCAUGCCGUAGUCGCGCCCAACACUUUUGUCACCUUUGAAUCUCUGAACAACCACUGCACCAGGCAGAUUGAAGGCGAGGAAAUAAGUCACCUUCGCCGGAAAAUUCGAUUUUCUGGCCAAACCGACGGGAAAUGGGUCUCGGACCAACAGAUAAAGUUGAUCCUCUCCUCACGGGAUUUCUACCUAUACUCGAUUUGUUGACUGGACGAGGAAUCGAAGCUCAGCUGCAAGUUAGGACAUGAAUACGGACGAUUUGGGUGCAAGGUCUUUUAGACAGUCUAGACACUUAAGAGAGCAUCCUCCUCACAACAAGGACAGAGCGAAGUUCCUUUAGAGUCCCGGCAAGGUACAUAUCAUUUGGGUUUGAGUUCCGACUUAGGCAUGUGAUUUGCAUUACCAUUGGUGUAAGUGUUGGUUUGGAUUAUUAUGAUUAUGAUUUUGCUUUAUGAUGAUGAUGAUUUACAAAGUUGGCAGCUCUAACACACUUCCAAAAUGUAAGGAGCCUUACCCUUGUCAUAGAAUUUUUGUAAUAAAUCCAUCUGUGCAUGGAUAAAGCAUCUAGAAUUUCUUUUGAAUACUUUAACUUCCGCAUGCACAUUAGUACUUAUGCUCUGAACUAUGAACAUGCUUAUAGUGGAGGGCCUGAGACCCGUUUGGUUUGGCCUUUUAGGGAUGUUCAGUUGUGAAAUAUUUGUGAACUAUUAUGUAUGCAUGUUGGUUUUAAUCAUAUUUUAAGGCAAACUACACCAAAAUUUUGAAAGGCCCUACUUGAAUUUUUAAUUCUUAUCCUUUAUGCAUGUUUUGGCUUGCGUCACCUUAUAGGUGUCCGCCAACACGACUUGAUUCAGAUGGAUAUCUGGGUCGGGACGUGUCUGAUUGGUCUCAGAGCAUAGCUUUAGGAAUCCUGAAAUCAUGCACCUUAUAGUGCCGUAUGGGACGUGUCUUAUGUUUUAUUGCUAGAGCAAUGCCACCUCGACGUUAAACAAUCACUCCACCAUAUAGUUUUCCUGGCUUAGAUUAGUUAGGGAUGCUACUGCACAAGGCUUUCAGAGUGUUAGGGUGGUGGUCGCACCUUCCUUGAGAUGGCACGUAGAAUGGGAGCACUGACCCUUGACGGGGCAGGUGAUGGAGAUCAAGCAGAGAAUUGGUUGGAGGAAAUGGAGCGCCUCUUGCAAACCAUGAAUAACUGCCUUGAGAAGUAUUGGGUUUCCACAACCACAUUUUUCCUCAUCUAGAGUGCAAGAUCUCAGUGGAAUGUUGAAAUGCAAAUGCUUCCUUGAAACACUAUGGUUUCAAAACUAAUUUCAAAGUCAGGUUCUUUUCUCCGGAGUUCAAGAACCAAAAAAAAAAAAAAAAAAAAAAA